rnacentral:rRNA from 1 species
GACAGAGGUGCCAAGCGUUAGGCGGAAUCACUGGGCUUAAAGCGUGUGUAGGCGGACCUGUAAGUGCCUUGUGAAAUCCCAUGGCUCAACCAUGGAACGGCUGGGCAUACUGCGGGUCUUGAGCUGUCUAGGGGCAACCGGAACAAACGGUGGAGCGGUGAAAUGCGUAGAUAUCGUUUGGAACGCCAAUGGUGAAAACAGGUUGCUGGGGAUAUGCUGACGCUGAGACACGAAAGCCAGGGGAGCGAACGGG